rnacentral:rRNA from 1 species
UACGUAGGGUGCGAGCGUUGUCCGGAAUUACUGGGCGUAAAGAGCUCGUAGGUGGUUUGUCGCGUUGUUCGUGAAAACUCACAGCUCAACUGUGGGCGUGCGGGCGAUACGGGCAGACUGGAGUACUGCAGGGGAGACUGGAAUUCCUGGUGUAGCGGUGGAAUGCGCAGAUAUCAGGAGGAACACCGGUGGCGAAGGCGGGUCUCUGGGCAGUAACUGACGCUGAGGAGCGAAAAGCGUGGGGAGCGAACAGG